rnacentral:misc_RNA from 1 species
CUUCCACCUUGCUUUCUUCGAUCACUUAUUGGCACAUAUAAUGUGCAUACUGCAUCAUAAUUAAAAGGGCGUAAAGUAAAGAAGACCAAUGUAUCAAUGAACUGUCAUGUUCAGUUGUUCACGCAUAAGCUCGAUUUUAUUAGCGGCUUGAGGGGAAACUGCCUUAAAAAGCCUGCAGCGCGCAAGCUGGCCCGGGCACCACUAUUAUUCAAAAAAGAAGAAACAUGCAGAGCAUCGGACUCAAAAGGUUCCAUUGGUGGCAUGACAUAUCUGGACCAGCAAUAUGCAGAGGAUUCUACUUGCAAGUAGGAUAUGCAACUUACUUUCUCGGGG